rnacentral:rRNA from 1 species
CCUAGGAAUCUGCCUGGUAGUGGGGGACAACGUUUCGAAAGGAACGCUAAUACCGCAUACGUCCUACGGGAGAAAGCAGGGACCUUCGGGCCUUGCGCUAUCAGAUGAGCCUAGGUCGGAUUAGCUAGUUGGUGAGGUAAUGGCUCACCAAGGCGACGAUCCGUAACUGGUCUGAGAGGAUGAUCAGUCACACUGGAACUGAGACACGGUCCAGACUCCUACGGGAGGCAGCAGCU